GAACUAUAUUUAUAUAGUUCUCACCCCCGUGUUGUUUUGGGGGUACAGGUUGCACGUGAGUGACGCGGCGGCGCGAGGUCAGGGCGUAGCUUCGUAGAUAGCGCCCUACCACCGAGACCAGAGAUAGCAGUACCCAGAAGCAGUCUAGCUCAGAGUAUAAGUAUGAAAGAAACAAACUUGUAGUAAUUUGUAUAAGUUGUAAUAACUUAAAGGUAUAUGUGGUUAUGUAAAUAUAAAUUAUUGUAAAUGUAAAAUUCUGAGAUGAAUGCUUGUAAUAGCAUAGUUAGCAUUUUAUGUUUUUUGAUACUUAUGCAAUCUAUAUUGCUACUG
rnacentral:lncRNA from 1 species